rnacentral:rRNA from 1 species
UGCCAGCCGCCGCGGUAAUACGGAGGGUGCAAACGUUGUUCGGAAUUACUGGGCAUAAAGAGCGCGUAGGCGGUCCGCUCAGUCAGGUGUGAAAUCCCCCGGCUCAACCGGGGAACUGCAUCUGAUACUGGCGGGCUCGAGGACGGUAGGGGUGAGCGGAACUCCAGGUGGAGCGGUGAAAUGCGUAGAUAUCUGGAGGAACACCUGUGGCGAAAGCGGCUCACUGGGCCGUCUCUGACGCUGAGGCGCGAAAGCUAGGGUAGCAAACAGGAUUAGAUA